rnacentral:snRNA from 1 species
AUGCUUACCUGGCAAGGGAGACACCAUGAUCGAGAAGGUCGUUUUCCCAAGGUGAGGCUUCUCCAUUGCACUUGAAUGUGUUGACUUCUGGGACACUCUCCCCACAAAAGAAAAAAAAUCAAAACAAAC